CCUACGGGUGGCAGCAGUGAGGAAUAUUGGUCAAUGGGCGGGAGCCUGAACCAGCCACGUCGCGUGAGGGAAGAAGGUCCUAUGGAUUGUAAACCUCUUUAGGCGGGGAGCACUGCCGGGCACGUGUGCCCGGAGGGAGAGUACCCGCAGAAUAAGCAUCGGCUAACUCCGUGCCAGCAGACGCGGUAAUACGGAGGAUGCGAGCGUUAUCCGGAUUUAUUGGGUUUAAAGGGUGCGUAGGCGGAGUUUUAAGUCAGCGGUAAAAUGCCUGGGCUCAACCCGGGCCGGCCGUUGAAACUGGGGAUCUGGAGUUGGCGAGAAGUAUGCGGAAUGCGUGGUGUAGCGGUGAAAUGCAUAGAUAGCACGGAGAACUCCGAGUGCGAAGGCAGCAUACCGGCGCCCGACUGACGCUGAGGCACGAAAGCGUGGGGAUCGAACAGGAUUAGAUACCCCAGUAGUC
rnacentral:rRNA from 1 species